rnacentral:rRNA from 1 species
UACGUAGGGAGCAAGCGUCGUCCGGAAUCAUUGGGCGUAAAGCGCGCGUAGGUGGCCAUGUAAGUCCGCUGUGAAAGUCGAAGGCUCAACCUUUGAAAGCCGGUGGAUACUGCAUGGCUAGAGUACGGAAGAGGCGAGUGGAAUUCCUGGUGUAGCGGUGGAAUGCGCAGAUAUCAGGAGGAACACCAAUAGCGAAGGCAGCUCGCUGGGACGUUACUGACGCUGAGAAGCGAAAGCGUGGGGAGCGAACAGG